CCCGGACCCCUAGAGUCAUUACAGGUGUGUCUGCUUAUCACAUGUAAAUCUGUGGAUUUCAGAGGGGAGAGAGGCUAUGUCUAUACACAGUAUUCUGAUCUAUAAACACCUAGGUGUUUAGUAGCCUAACACU